rnacentral:tRNA from 1 species
GGCUCCAUGGCUCAGUAGGUUAGAGCGCCAGUCUAGUAAACUGGAGGUCGCGAAUUCAACUCUCGGUGCAGCCU